AGAAAAAGAAGGGAGCCACAUCUUGCAAGACCAUCCUGGCUUACAACAUAAAGGCGCAGCAAGGUUUGCUCACAAGCUGAAGGCAGUUGUGUUGUAGCUGAGAUGUGAGGUUGAAAGGGGAACAAAGGAUUGAAGAAGUUAGGGCAUGGUGGCUAAUCCUUGCUCCCUUCCAACUGUUCAUCUGCCCCAGCUUCAGGAUUAUGGCUAGAAAAGUAACCUUCAGGUCCUACCAAGUGGAGCAGGCUUAGAGAGCAAGCAAAGCCCGGGAAGAUUCAUUUCUAUUUUUCAAUUCUCUUCCUACCCACCACCUGGUGUCACUGACUAAAGCCAGUGCAGCCUCUAGCUCCCAAGCUCCAGCUAAAGGAGAAGUGGAUAGGUAAGUUGAAGGUCUCUCUAUUUAUGUUUUAAAACAGGGGCUCAGUAUGUUCCCCAUGAUGGCCCUGAACUUGUGAUCCUCCUGGCUCAGCCUCAUGAGUAGCUGGAAGGUUUCAAUACCAUGGUUUACAUGAAACAGACCACCCACAAUGACCUUGUAGUAAAAAAACCCAGGAAGCAACUGGCCACAGGAGCCACUGGCAAGAGUAUACCUUCUACUGGAGAGGGAAGAAACCUCACAUUACAAGCCUGAUGCCUUGGGGCUCUGUGAAAUCAGAUGUUAUCAGAAGUCUGCUGAACUUCUGAUUUACACAUUUUCUUUCCAUUAUCUGGUACAAGAAAUUGCUCAAGGCUUCAAAACAUAUCUGAGCUUCCAGAGUGCAGCUCCUGGUGCUUUGUAGGGGGCAGAUGAGGACUAUGUAGUUAGCCUUCUUGAGAAUACAACCUGUGUGUUAUCCAGGCCAACAGUGCAAAUUUGGGGCAAAGGACAUUCAGAGGAUGCUACAUACUUGGAGAGCAUGCUUAAGAAUCCAUGGAGAUGGAAAUGUUUCAUUCUCACACACACACACAAAUAAAAAGAUUUUUCUUCUUCCUGUUA